rnacentral:SRP_RNA from 1 species
GCCAGGUGUGAUAGCACACACCUGUACUCAUUGCUACUGAGGAGGCUGAGGCUGGUAAAUCACUUGAACUUGGGAGUGCUGAGCUGUAGUGGGCUAAAGCCAAUCUGAUGCCCUCACCAAAUUCACCACCAAUAUGGUGAGCCCUCAGGAAGAAGGUCACCAAACUACUUAAAGAGGGGAGAACUGGAAUGAGUUAGAAAGGGAGAAGGUCAAAACUCCCAUGUCAAUCAGUAGUGGGAUCUGGUCUAUGAUCCAUUACUGUAUCUCCAGCCUGGGCACAACCUAGUCUUA